UCUUUGGUAGUAUAGUGGUAAGUAUUCCCGCUUGUCAACAUCGCUUUGAUCAGGUUCGCGGGCGACCGGGGUUCAAUUCCCCGCCAAAGAG